UACGGAGGGUGCAAACGUUGCUCGGAAUCAUUGGGCGUAAAGCGCACGUAGGCGGCUUGUUAAGUCGGAUGUGAAAGCCCUCGGCUCAACCGAGGAAGUGCAUACGAAACUGGCGAGCUUGAAUAUGGAAGAGGGUCGCGGAAUUCCCGGUGUAGAGGUGAAAUUCGUAGAUAUCGGGAGGAACACCAGUGGCGAAGGCGGGUCUCUGGACAGUUCCUGACACUGAGGCACGAAGGCCAGGGGAGCAAACGGG
rnacentral:rRNA from 1 species